rnacentral:rRNA from 1 species
GGCAACCCUGACGGAGCAACGCCGCGUGGGGGAGGACGGCCUUCGGGUUGUAAACCGCUUUUCUCUGGGAAGAAGGACUGACGGUACUAGAGGAAUCAGCAUCGGCUAACUCCGUGCCAGCAGCCGCGGUAAGACGGAGGAUGCAAGCGUUAUCCGGAAUUAUUGGGCGUAAAGCGUCCGUAGGCGGUUCAUCAAGUCUGCCGUUAAAGACUGCAGCUCAACUGUGGGCCGGCGGUGGAAACUGAUGAACUUGAGUAUGGUAGGGGUAGAGGGAAUUCCCAGUGUAGCGGUGAAAUGCGUAGAUAUUGGGAAGAACACCAGUGGCGAAGGCGCUCUGCUGGGCCAUAACUGACGCUGAGGGACGAAAGCUAGGGGAGCG